UUCUCCAGACACCUCUCAGAGGUCAAUUCGGAGGAGGAGGAACCAACCCCAGACACCUCAGGAAGUGAGUUGGUCAAUGGCUCCAAGCAGCUGGCUGAGUGAUUUGGCUGAAGCACAGCUGAAGCAGGACAGCCCUGAGGCUUCAGUAUAGAGGGACGGCUUCAGCAAUGGAGGGUAUGGAGAUGGAGGGCUGAAUCACCCCCACCGACGAAGCCCAGCAAGGAACCCCUUUCCCCCAAAGAACUUUCCGUAAUUGAUGGCUUGUUGUUUUUGAUUGUUGUUAGUUUUAAUGUUCGUUCAUUUUUCAAUUUGGUAUUUCUUUAUGUUAUCAUUUUCUGUACUUUUUUGUUUACUGCUUAGAAUUAAAACCAACAGUUAAAUAAAUAA